rnacentral:rRNA from 1 species
GUCUUUUUGAAAAUAAUUUAAAGUCUAAUCUGCCCACUGAUUUUUAAUUAAAGGGCUGCAGUAUUUUGACUGUACAAAGGUAGCAUAAUCAAUAGUCUCUUAAUUGGUGACUUGUAUGAAAGAUUUGAUGAAAUAUAAACUGUCUCUAUUAAAUUUAUAAAAUUUAAUUUUUUAGUUAAAAAGCUAAAAUAUGUUUAAAAGACGAGAAGACCCUAUAGAGUUUUAUAAUUUAUUUAUUUUUAAUUUUGUUUAAAUAUUAAAAUUAAAAAUAAAUGAAUUAUUUUAUUGGGGUGAUAGAAAAAUUAAAUAAACUUUUUUUAAAAUUUUUACAUUAAUAUAUGGUUAUAUGAUCCGUAAAUUACGAUUAAAAGAUUAAAUUACCUUAGGGAUAACAGCGUAAUUUUUUUUUUUAGUUCAAAUAAGAAAAAGAGUUUGCGACCUCGAUGUUGGAUUAAGAUAAAAUUUAAAAUGCAAAAGUUUAAAAUUUUUGAUCUGUUCGAUCAUUAAAAUCUUACA